GUGAGGAAUAUUGCGCAAUGGAGGCAACUCUGACGCAGCCAUGCCGCGUGCAGGAAGAAGGCGCUACGCGUUGUAAACUGCUUUUAACCGGGAAGAAACCCCAGGACGUGUCCUGGGUUGACGGUACCGGAGGAAUAAGCACCGGCUAACUUCGUGCCAGCAGCCGCGGUAAUACGAAGGGUGCAAGCGUUAUCCGGAUUCAUUGGGUUUAAAGGGUGCGUAGGCGGAGCGUUAAGUCAGUGGUGAAAUCCUGCAGCUUAACUGUAGACUUGGCAUUGAUACUGGCGCUCUUGAGUGCGCUUGAAGUGGGCGGAAUGUGCCGUGUAGCGGUGAAAUGCUUAGAUAUGGCACAGAACACCAAUUGCGAAGGCAGCUCACUAAGGCGAUACUGACGCUGAGGCACGAAAGCGUGGGGAUCGAACAGGAUUAGAAACCCCAGUAGUCC
rnacentral:rRNA from 1 species